rnacentral:rRNA from 1 species
GAUGAACGCUAGCUACAGGCUUAACACAUGCAAGUCGAGGGGCAGCGGGUUGAAAGCUUGCUUUCAAUGCCGGCGACCGGCGCACGGGUGCGUAACGCGUAUCAAACCUGCCUCAUACUCGGGGAUAGCCUUGCGAAAGUAAGAUUAAUACCCGAUGUUGUUGCUUUCUCGCAUGGGAGAGUAACCAAAGAUUUAUCGGUAUGAGAUGGUGAUGCGUCCGAUUAGGUAGUAGGCGGGGUAACGGCCCACCUAGCCUUCGAUCGGUAGGGGUUCUGAGAGGAAGGUCCCCCACACUGGAACUGGGACACGGUCCAGACUCCUACGGGAGGCAGCAGUGAGGAAUAUUGGUCAAUGGGCGAGAGCCUGAACCAGCCAAGUAGCGUGCAGGAUGACGGCCCUCCGGGUUGUAAACUGCUUUUAGUUGGGAAUAAAAAAAGGGACUUGUCCCUUCUUGUAUGUACCUUCAGAAAAAGGACCGGCUAAUUCCGUGCCAGCAGCCGCGGUAAUACGGAAGGUCCAGGCGUUAUCCGGAUUUAUUGGGUUUAAAGGGAGCGUAGGCGGAUUGUUAAGUCAGCGGUUAAAGGGUGUGGCUCAACCAUGCAUUGCCGUUGAAACUGGCGAUCUUGAGUGCAGACAGGGAUGCCGGAAUUCGUGGUGUAGCGGUGAAAUGCUUAGAUAUCACGAAGAACUCCGAUCGCGAAGGCAGGUGUCCGGGCUGCAACUGACGCUGAGGCUCGAAAGUGUGGGUAUCAAACAGG